CCUACGGGUGGCAGCAGUGAGGAAUAUUGGUCAAUGGACGAGAGUCUGAACCAGCCAAGUAGCGUGAAGGAUGACUGCCCUAUGGGUUGUAAACUUCUUUUAUAUGGGAAUAAAAUGUUCCACGUGUGGGAUUUCGUAUGUACCAUAUGAAUAAGGAUCGGCUAACUCCGUUCCAGCAGCCGCGGUAAUACGGAGGAUCCGAGCGUUAUCCGGAUUUAUUGGGUUUAACGGGAGCGUAGGUGGAUUGUUAAGUCAGUUGUGAAAGUUUGCGGCUCAACCGUAAGAUUGCAGUUGAAACUGGCAGUCUAGAGUACAGUAGAGGUGGGCGGAAUUCGUGGUGUAGCGGUGAAAUGCUUAGAUAUCACGAAGAACUCCGAUUGCGAAGGCAGCCUACUAAACUGCCACUGACAUUGAUGCUCGAAAGUGUGGGUAUCAAACAGGAUUAGAUACCCUUGUAGUC
rnacentral:rRNA from 1 species